GUGGAUGCCCUGGCAGUCAGAGGCGAUGAAGGGCGUACUAAUCUGCGAUAAGCGCCGGUAAGGUGAUAUGAACCGUUAUAACCGGCGAUACCCGAAUGGGGAAACCCAGUGUGAUUCGUCACACUAUCAUUAACUGAAUCCAUAGGUUAAUGAGGCGAACCGGGGGAACUGAAACAUCUAAGUACCCCGAGGAAAAGAAAUCAACCGAGAUUCCCCCAGUAGCGGCGAGCGAACGGGGAGGAGCCCAGAGCCUGAAUCAGCAUGUGUGUUAGUGGAAGCGUCUGGAAAGGCGCGCGAUACAGGGUGACAGCCCCGUACACAAAAGCGCAUGUGCUGUGAGCUCGAUGAGUAGGGCGGGACACGUGGUAUCCUGUCUGAAUAUGGGGGGACCAUCCUCCAAGGCUAAAUACUCCUGACUGACCGAUAGUGAACCAGUACCGUGAGGGAAAGGCGAAAAGAACCCCGGCGAGGGGAGUGAAAAAGAACCUGAAACCGUGUACGUACAAGCAGUGGGAGCCCCACCACCAAAGCAUUUGCUGUACCGCGUUGACGGAGCGAAGCGACGUCAAACCGAUAAAACAGCAGUGUAAAGUGAGCCGCAGGGCGC
rnacentral:rRNA from 1 species